ensembl:ncRNA asRNA:CR43868 antisense RNA:CR43868
GGUUUAAAACUCAAUUGAAAAGGGGUAGUACUUGUGGUUGAGGCCCUUAAUCAAAUUUAAUGGCACCACCCGUUCGCCAGUGUGAUAACCAUCGAGAACGGCCAUUUCCUCGGCUGUCAGCUCAAAAUCGAAGAUAUCGAAGUUCUCAGAAAUUCGCAACACGUUCGUUUCGGCCAGGAAAUUGUGAGCAUAUCGGAGAGCCGCGAAUUGACAAAUCGAAACAAUAUCCGAAAUUAUACAACUGAUCAACGUCGCAAGGCACACGAAAGAUUCGAUAAACUUUGAUAGAGACAUUUAGAGAGAUACAAAUAAUUAUUUCCCCAGAUUCUGCGCCCUGUAUUAAAGGUCUUCAUUUGGAGCAACUCCUCCGGCGUUAGGUGGAAAUCAAAUAUAUCCAGAUUCUCUACGAGAUGGGCUCGCUGGGCAGCUUUUGGAAUAGGUCGUUUAUACCAAGUAUCUUAGGAUGAUUUGAGCUGGUGUCUUGCCGUAUUUCGCUGCCAACGCCAGUAGCUUGGAAUCAGUGUAGUAAUCGGGCAGCGGAUUGCA